AGUGAACGCUGGCGGUAGGCCUAACACAUGCAAGUCGAACGGCAGCACAGAGGAGCUUGCUCCUUGGGUGGCGAGUGGCGGACGGGUGAGGAAUACAUCGGAAUCUACUCUGUCGUGGGGGAUAACGUAGGGAAACUUACGCUAAUACCGCAUACGACCUACGGGUGAAAGCAGGGGAUCUUAGGACCUUGCGCGAUUGAAUGAGCCGAUGUCGGACGAGCUAGUUGGCGGGGUAAAGGACCACCAAGGCGACGAUCCGUAGCUGGUCUGAGAGGAUGAUCAGCCACACUGGAACUGAGACACGGUCCAGACUCCUACGGGAGGCAGCAGUGGGGAAUAUUGGACAAUGGGCGCAAGCCUGAUCCAGCCAUACCGCGUGGGUGAAGAAGGCCUUCGGGUUGUAAAGCCCUUUUGUUGGGAAAGAAAUCCAUCUGGUUAAUACCCGGGUGGGAUGACGGUACCCAAAGAAUAAGCACCGGCUAACUUCGUGCCAGCCGCCGCCGUAA
rnacentral:rRNA from 1 species